rnacentral:rRNA from 1 species
GACGAACGCUGGCGGCGUGCUUAACACAUGCAAGUCGAACGGAAAGGCCCUGCUUUUGUGGGGUGCUCGAGUGGCGAACGGGUGAGUAACACGUGAGUAACCUGCCCUUGACUUUGGGAUAACUUCAGGAAACUGGGGCUAAUACCGGAUAGGAUCUCCUGCUGCAUGGGGGGGGUUGGAAAGUUUCGGCGGUUGGGGAUGGACUCGCGGCUUAUCAGCUUGUUGGUGGGGUAGUGGAUUACCAAGGCUUUGACGGGUAGCCGGCCUGAGAGGGUGACCGGACAAAUUGGGACUGAGAUGCGGCACAGACUACUACGGGAGGCAGCAGUGGGGAAUAGUGCACAAUGGGCGGAAGCCUAAUGCAGCAACGCCGCGUGCGGGAUGACGGCCUUCGGGUUGUAAACCGCUUUCGCCUGUGACGAAGCGUGAGUGACGGUAAUGGGUAAAGAAGCACCGGCUAACUACGUG